rnacentral:tRNA from 1 species
CAGAGAAUAGUUUAUAAAAAAUAUUAAUUUUGGAGAUUAAUGAAAAGAGCUUUCUUUUCUCUGA